AUCCAACUGAAGUGUCCCAAAUAUGACGGAACGCGCGUCCUGGAU
rnacentral:hammerhead_ribozyme from 1 species